CGUGAGAAAUCUGCCUUCAACUCUGGGAUAACUCCGUGAAAACGGGGCUAAUACCGGAUAUGAAACCUGCGGGCAUCCGCGGGUUUGGAAAGUUUUUCGGUUGAAGAUGAUCUCGCGGCCUAUCAGCUUGUUGGUGAGGUAAUGGCUCACCAAGGCGACGACGGGUAGCCGGCCUGAGAGGGCGACCGGCCACACUGGGACUGAGACACGGCCCAGACUCCUACGGGAGGCAGCAGUGGGGAAUAUUGGGCAAUGGAGGAAACUCUGACCCAGCGACGCCGCGUGCGGGAUGAAGGCCUUCGGGUUGUAAACCGCUUUCAGCAGGGAAGAAGCGAAAGUGACGGUACCUGCAGAAGAAGCACCGGCUAACUAUGUGCCAGCAGCCGCGGUAAUACAUAGGGUGCAAGCGUUGUCCGGAAUUAUUGGGCGUAAAGAGCUCGUAGGUGGUUCGUCACGUCGGAUGUGAAACUCUGGGGCUUAACCCCAGACCUGCAUUCGAUACGGGCGAGCUUGAGUAUGGUAGGGGAGUCUGGAAUUCCUGGUGUAGCGGUGGAAUGCGCAGAUAUCAGGAGGAACACCAAUGGCGAAGGCAGGACUCUGGGCCAUUACUGACACUGA
rnacentral:rRNA from 1 species